rnacentral:lncRNA from 1 species
GCAUUAAUGAGGUAUAACUGACAUACAAUAACCUGUGUUAUUGAAAGUGUACAGUUUGGUGAAUUUUGAGACAUACACACUGGUGAAACCAUCAACAUGAACAUACCCAUCCCCCUCUCAUUUCCUCAUGCUUCCUCAUCAUCUAUUCAAUGGUUUCAUAACUGCUGAGGACCAGAAAGGAAGUGCUAGUCUCCUGUCACUCAGUCCAGUGUUAAUUCUAAGAGGCUACCUUCAACCAUCCCCAGAAGAGGCGCGGGAACCAGUUAUUAAGCACAUACCAUGUAUGAAGCUCCAGACAAAAAACAAUGUUUGGUCGACAAUGGACUGCAUAUAUGAUGGUGGUCCCCUAAGAUUAUAGUGAAGCUGAAAAAUUCCUAUUGCCUGGUGACAUUGUUGUCAUCAUAAAGUCAUAGCACAACACAUUUCUCACCUGUUUGUGGUAAUGCUGAUGUAAACAAAGCUACUGUGUUGCCAGUUGUAUACACGUGUGCAGUAAUGUCCUAGGUCCUCACAUAUGCUCACCACUCAAUCACUGACUCACCUGGAGCGACUGCCAGUCCACAAGCUCAUUCACAGGAAGUGUCCUGUACAGGUGUGCCAGUUUCUUAAUGUUUUAUGCCAUAUUUUGACUCCGCUCAUUCCAGACAGUGUGUUUGGGGAGCUAUGCAGUAUUUCACAUUUCUGCCUAGAUGCUGGAAAAUCAAGCCUGCUUAACGUGAAGAUGAUGAGGAUGAAAACCUUUAUGAUGAUCCACUUCCAUUUGAUGAAUGCCUUAUAGCUGUAGGCAGUUCACACCACCUCUGUGAGCCUCCUUUUCCUCCUCCUCUGACGUCACAGCAUUUUGGCUGGUUGGGCAGAUCAUGAAGGGACUUUGACAACCAGGAGACCUGCUCAUAGAUGGAGUUUUGCAAAGAUUGGAAGAGGCAGCCUCUGCUAUUGCCAUUCUAAUAUCUUCUUCUAUAACAAAAAACACAAAGAUACCAAACAACAUUAUAAAAGAAGAUGUAUUCAAAGCAAAGUGAUGAUCAUCCCUUCUUCCCAUCCUAAUGGCUCAUAUCUAGGACUGUACAUGUCAUGGCUUUUGAAGCCUAAUCGACCCUCUGACAAGGUGCUCUGGUCACAGGUUCCAGCCUUGCUGCUACCUCUGACCAAGUGCAGACCAGGCUCCUCGGGGAGGACCACAUCUCUAUUGCUCAGACUGCCUGACACAGCCUUGCUUGAGGUUCUGUCUGAAAGAAAGAGGCAAAUGGUUCUUCCCUUCUCCUGAAUGCCUGGCAUUCCCUAGUUGCCUGGCUUUUCCCAUCAGCUGGCUGGCAGGGCCCUCCAGGUGUCCCGUCCUUGUUCUAUGCUUAGCUCAGGCUCAGGAUAAAGGUCACAUGUCUGUGGAACAGUCCUUCUCUCCUCUGUGUGCUCUCAGCUUU